GAUGAACGCUGGCGGCGUGCCUAACACAUGCAAGUCGAGCGAUUCUCUUCGGAGAAGAGCGGCGGACGGGUGAGUAACGCGUGGGUAACCUGCCCUGUACACACGGAUAACAUACCGAAAGGUAUGCUAAUACGAGAUAAUAUACUUUUAUCGCAUGGUAGAAGUAUCAAAGCUCCGGCGGUACAGGAUGGACCCGCGUCUGAUUAGCUAGUUGGUAAGGUAACGGCUUACCAAGGCGACGAUCAGUAGCCGACCUGAGAGGGUGAUCGGCCACAUUGGAACUGAGACACGGGCCAAACUCCUACGGGAGGCAGCAGUGGGGAAUAUUACACAAUGGGCGAAAGCCUGAUGCAGCAACGCCGCGUGAGCGAUGAAGGCCUUCGGGUCGUAAAGCUCUGUCCUCAAGGAAGAUAAUGACGGUACUUGAGGAGGAAGCCCCGGCUAACUACGUGCCAGCAGCCGCAGUAACAC
rnacentral:rRNA from 1 species